UCCGAGUUGGCCCCGGCAGUCUCCUACGAGUCCCCGGCAUUACCCGCUGGCAACAUAGGACAAGGGUUGCGCUCGUUGCGGGACUUAACCCAACAUCUCACGACACGAGCUGACGACAACCAUGCACCACCUGUGCACGGCCCUUACGGACCCACCAUCUCUGGAGGAUUUCCGUGCAUGUCAAGCCUAGGUAAGGUUCUUCGCGUUGCAUCGAAUUAAGCAACAUGCUCCGCCGCUUGUGCGGGCCCCCGUCAAUUCCUUUGAGUUUUAGCCUUGCGGCCGUACUUCCCAGGCGGGGCACUUAAUGCGUUAGCUACGGCACGGAGCGGGUCAAACGCCGCCCCACACCUAGCACCCAACGUUUACGGCUAGGACUAC
rnacentral:misc_RNA from 1 species